rnacentral:rRNA from 1 species
AACCCGGCUACAUGAAGCUGGAAUCGCUAGUAAUCGCGGAUCAGAAUGCCGCGGUGAAUACGUUCCCGGGUCUUGUACACACCGCCCGUCACACCAUGGGAGUUGGAAAUGCCCGAAGUCAGUGGCCCAACCGCAAGGAGGGAGCUGCCGAAGGCAGGUCCGGUAACCGGGGUGAAGUCGUAACAAGGUAAC